CCUACGGGAGGCAGCAGUGGGGAAUUUUGGACAAUGGGCGCAAGCCUGAUCCAGCAAUGCCGCGUGAGUGAAGAAGGCCUUCGGGUUGUAAAGCUCUUUUGUCAGGGAAGAAACGGCCGAGGCUAAUACCUUUGGCUAAUGACGGUACCUGAAGAAUAAGCACCGGCUAACUACGUGCCAGCAGCCGCGGUAAUACGUAGGGUGCAAGCGUUAAUCGGAAUUACUGGGCGUAAAGCGUGCGCAGGCAGUUUUGUAAGUCUGACGUGAAAUCCCCGGGCUCAACCUGGGAAUUGCGUUGGAGACUGCAAGGCUGGAGUCUGGCAGAGGGGGGUAGAAUUCCACGUGUAGCAGUGAAAUGCGUAGAGAUGUGGAGGAACACCGAUGGCGAAGGCAGCCCCCUGGGUCAAGACUGACGCUCAUGCACGAAAGCGUGGGGAGCAAACAGGAUUAGAUACCCUGGUAGUCCACGCCCUAAACGAUGUCUACUAGUUGUCGGGUCUUAAUUGACUUGGUAACGCAGCUAACGCGUGAAGUAGACCGCCUGGGGAGUACGGUCGCAAGAUUAAAACUCAAAGGAAUUGACGG
rnacentral:rRNA from 1 species